rnacentral:rRNA from 1 species
UACGGAGGGUGCAAGCGUUAUCCGGAUUCACUGGGUUUAAAGGGUGCGUAGGUGGGCAAGUAAGUCAGUGGUGAAAUCUCCGGGCUUAACUCGGAAAGGUCAACUGAUACUGUGCGACUAGAGUGCAGAAGGGGCAACUGGAAUUCUCGGUGUAGCGGUGAAAUGCGUAGAUAUCGAGAGGAACACCUGCGGCGAAGGCGGGUUGCUGGGCUGACACUGACGCUGAUGCGCGAAAGCCAGGGGAGCGAACGGG